rnacentral:lncRNA from 1 species
GCACUUGUAAUGCCGCAAGCAACCUUGUCCAGGGUCAUUAGUCAAGCCUUUGGUUGGUUUGCUUGCGUGCUAGGGAUGUUUUGGUAAUUUACAAAUUAUGUAAUUUAUUUUAUUUUAGCAUUAGUCUCCUCGGCCUUUUUCAUGUUUCCUUCUGUCAUGUUCAUGUAAAGCCGAUAUGCUCUUUGGGGAGGAGUUCCUAGUCGGCAUAGUUUGGACUAGUGAACUAGUAUAGGUAAGCACAUGUACUUUUGCCUCCCUUGCCGUCUUACCAUCAAUAAAAGAGGAAUUAUUCAAUCAUCUGUGUCUCUACUAUUUUAA